AGUGUUUCCAUCGCUUUCAACUUCCUGGGAACAGAGAACAUGAAGAGUGGCGACCACACGGCAGCCUUUUCUUAUUUCCAGAAAGCUGCAGCCCGCGGCUACAGCAAAGCGCAGUACAAUGCGGGCUUGUGUCAUGAGCAUGGCAGAGGCACCCCCAGGGACAUUAGCAAGGCGGUCCUUUAUUAUCAGUUGGCUGCCAGUCAGGGCCACAGCCUGGCUCAGUACCGCUAUGCCAGGUGCCUACUACGAGACCCAGCCUCUUCGUGGAACCCUGAGCGGCAGAGGGCAGUGUCCUUGCUGAAGCAGGCUGCAGACUCAGGCUUGAGAGAGGCCCAAGCUUUCCUCGGGGUGCUUUUCACCAAGGAGCCCUACCUGGAUAAGCAGAGAGCUGUGAAAUAUCUUUGGCUUGCAGCCAACAAUGGGGUAUGCGAUCUCAGUGGACAAGCAUGUUGGGGAUGAAGCCUGAUAAGAGAAGGGAUUUUGGAACUGGUACUGAGUUCUUCUGUUCUUAGGAGAUUGUUGGAUAGGAGCCUUGGCCUGGCUUCAAGCCUUAGCGCUCACUGACUUACUGUGUGACCGUUGGGCAGUUGCAGUAGCACGCCAGAGCUGGCUUGCACCAGGCUGUGAGAGCUGUUGGCAGCUUAAAAUCUGCUAUGGUGGGAAUAUUUGCACCACAGAAAUUGCUAAAUGCCAUAAAACAGGGCUUUUUCCCUCCUCGAGAGCCAGUUGUUCAACAUUUACCAGCACACUACUGGGCCUGGUCACUUCUUGAUUCAAACCUGUUUCCUCGUCUUUAAAAUCAGAAUAAUAAUGCUUGCCUUACCUGUCCAGUA
rnacentral:sRNA from 1 species